UACGGGGGGGGCAAGCGUUGUUCGGAAUUACUGGGCGUAAAGGGCGCGUAGGUGGCCAACUAAGUCAGACGUGAAAUCCCUCGGCUUAACCGGGGAACUGCAUCUGAUACUGGAUGGCUUGAGAUUGGGAGAGGGAUGCGGAAUUCCAGGUGUAGCGGUGAAAUGCGUAGAUAUCUGGAGGAACACCGGUGGCGAAGGCGGCAUCCUGGACCAACACUGACGCUGAGGAGCGAAAGCCAGGGGAGCAAACGGG
rnacentral:rRNA from 1 species